rnacentral:lncRNA from 1 species
GGCACCCCUCCCCCUUUCAACCCUAUUGCUGCUAUCAACACGCCCCAGCCACGCCAGCUCUACCUCAAUCCUGCCCACAUGGUCCCCCUUGUCUCAUCCUCCGCGUCACCCAACCAUAACGACCUCUGACAACAGAAAAUAUUUCAUUUCCCUCUUCCCACGCGCUCUUGGUUCUCUCAGAUGGAAUUCAGAUCAAAGGUAUACAUAGGAUUUGAAGACUUCAAAUCCUAGUCUUCCAUUUGUUUUAGAACCAUCCAGAAAAGAGAACAAAAGGGGAUUUUUGUUUUGGGCAGAAGGUUUUCAGAUUUAAGGGGGGUCGAAGAAAAAGUGCGAGGGUUUUGAUUUGAGGGUUUCUUUAUUCUCCUCUUCUUUUUUGUUUUAUUCAUGUUUUGAGAUAUAUAAAGAAAAAAUAUAUAUCAAAUUCGUCUGGUUUCAAUUUUACUUCAAAAGUCAAAAAUACAAAAAAAAAUUAGUUUUUUUUUUUUGAAUUCCUCUAUUCCGGACUUGCUUGAUUUUGCUUGAUUCAUUGGUGUAAUUGCUAAACUUUUGUUCACUGAAAGCAAAUUUCAGGUUAUUUUUAUCCCCAUGCUUUAUUUUGGUGUGAUCAGCAUGUGACUAAUUUCAGAAUAUGUGCUAGACUCCUUGUUUUAUGUUGUUGCUCAUUUAACUUUGUAUUAAUUGGUUGUUGUAUGUGUGAUUAAUGAAUACGUAUUAGAAUGUAGGAAUUGUUUAUGGAGCUGAAAAUAGCCUGUGUGUGUUCUGGUCUUCCACUUUACAUAGUUAUGGAGGUCGGAUUUGCUUGACUUUGGUAUGAAUGAUU